AACGUACAUUACAAGAGGUGACUCAGAAUGCUACCAGUUUUGAGUUGCGUCAAGAAUGAGAGAAGUUUCUGCAGCAGUUUUGGCUUCAGUCGGAGUUCUCUUCAUGGAAAGCAGCUCCUGGCAUGCUACUUGGCUCUAGAAAGACCAAAGGACAUCAGCGGACCACAUGACUGGAGCUCUCCCUCACAAACUUGAUAACCCAAGUCAUAUUGUCUGGUAGGCAGAGCAACCAUUCACUGAACAAUUGGACUAGUCUGUUAUGAGAAGGGAGGGUUGCUGCUACAUAAUAAGGAAGCAAGACAUAUUUUAAAACUUGGGGGGUCCACUGCAGCAUUUCUUUUUAUUCAACCAUAUGCUGAAUUAACUUCAAAUGGUGGAUUACAGCCACCACAGCCUGUUAAGGGCAUAGCAAUCAAGACUGGAGGUCAAGCCACCUAGCCUCAGAGAACGGAUGACAUCAAGAAUGAGGGAUGUUGGGAAUGAGUGGUAGGGGAUGAUGAUGGAUCAGCUACGGCUUUGGCAACUGCAAUAGCGAGAGCCCGUUCUACUGAUCCGUGCCUUUCCACUUUGU